rnacentral:rRNA from 1 species
GACGAACGCUGGCGGCGUGCUUAACACAUGCAAGUCGAACGGUAAGGCCCUUCGGGGUACACGAGUGGCGAACGGGUGAGUAACACGUGGGUGAUCUGCCCUGCACUUCGGGAUAAGCCUGGGAAACUGGGUCUAAUACCGGAUAGGACCCUGGGAUGCAUGUCCUGGGGCGGAAAGCUUUUGCGGUGUGGGAUGGGCCCGCGGCCUAUCAGCUUGUUGGUGGGGUGAUGGCCUACCAAGGCGACGACGGGUAGCCGGCCUGAGAGGGUGACCGGCCACACUGGGACUGAGAUACGGCCCAGACUCCUACGGGAGGCAGCAGUGGGGAAUAUUGCACAAUGGGCGCAAGCCUGAUGCAGCGACGCCGCGUGAGGGAUGACGGCCUUCGGGUUGUAAACCUCUUUCAGCACCGACGAAGCGCAAGUGACGGUAGGUGCAGAAGAAGGACCGGCCAACUACGUGCCAGCCGCCGCCGUAACAC